AGCGAACGCUGGCGGCAGGCCUAACACAUGCAAGUCGAACGGACCCUUCGGGGUUAGUGGCGGACGGGUGAGUAACACGUGGGAACGUUCCUUUAGGUUCGGAAUAGCUCCUGGAAAGGGGUGGCAAUGCCGAAUGUGCCCUUCGGGGGAAAGAUUUUUUGCCUUUCGAGGGGCCCGCGUCUGAUUCGCUAGUUGGUGCGGUAAUGGCUCACCAAGGCGACGAUCAGUAGCUGGUCUGAGAGGAUGACUAGCCACACUGGGACUGAGACCCGGCCCAGAAUCCUACGGGAGGCAGCAGUGGGGGAUCUUGCGAAAUGGGCGGAAGCAUGACGCAGCCAUGCCGCGUGAAUGAUGAAGGUCUUAGGAUUGUAAAAUUCUUUCACCGGGGACGAUAAUGACGGUACCCGGAGAAGAAGCCCCGGCUAACUUCGUG
rnacentral:rRNA from 1 species